rnacentral:rRNA from 1 species
GGGGAAUUUUCCGCAAUGGGCGAAAGCCUGACGGAGCAAUACCGCGUGAGGGAAGAAGGCUCUUGGGUUGUAAACCUCUUUUCUCAGGGAAGAAGUCCUGACGGUACCUGAGGAAUCAGCAUCGGCUAACUCCGUGCCAGCAGCCGCGGUAAUACGGAGGAUGCAAGCGUUAUCCGGAAUUAUUGGGCGUAAAGAGUCCGUAGGUGGUCAGAUAAGUCUGCUGUCAAAGACCGGGGCUUAACUCCGGAAAGGCAGUGGAAACUGUGUGACUAGAGACCGGGAGGGGUAGAGAGAAUUCCCAGUGUAGCGGUGAAAUGCGUAGAGAUUGGGAAGAACACCGGUGGGGAAGGCGCUCUACCGGACCGGAACUGACACUGAGGGACGAAAGCUAGGGGAGCGAAAGGGAUUAUAUACCCCUGUAGUC